GCUAAGUGGGCUGUUGGAAAGCAAAAUGACUGUUAAUCAUUAGGGGCAGAUUUUUCUGCACUUGGCG
rnacentral:tRNA from 1 species